rnacentral:tRNA from 1 species
UAUAUGUUGAUGUAAAGAGCAUAAAAAGUUUUGAUCUUUUAAGAAGCAGUGCGAUUCUGUUACAUGUAG